GCCGAGUGUGGUGUUGCUCCUGUAGUCCCAGCUACCCAGGAGGCUGAGACAGGAGGAUCACUUGAAUCCAGAAGUUUGCGGCUAUAACAAGCUCUGCCAAUUGGGUGUCCACACUAAGUUCGGCAUCGAUAUGGUGACCUCCUGGGAGGAGGGACCACCAAGAUGCUAAAAAGGGCAGGUCAAAACCCGUGCUGAUGAGUAGUGAGAUCAUGCCUGUGAAGAGCCCACUGUGCUCCAGCAGCAACAUAAAAAGACCCUGUCUUU
rnacentral:SRP_RNA from 1 species